rnacentral:rRNA from 1 species
UAUUGGACAAUGGGGGAAACCCUGAUCCAGCGACGCCGCGUGUGUGAAGAAGGCCUGCGGGUUGUAAAGCACUUUCGGUGGGCACGAAAUGUGCCGGGCUAAUAUCCCGGCAAGCUGACGUUACUCAAUGAAGAAGCACCGGCUAACUCUGUGCCAGCAGCCGCGGCAAUACAGAGGGUGCGAGCGUUAAUCGGAAUUACUGGGCGUAAAGCGCACGUAGGUGGCGACGUAAGUCGGGUGUGAAAUCCCCGGGCUCAACCUGGGAAUGGCAUUCGAGACUGUGUUGCUGGAGUACGGAAGAGGAGGGCGGAAUUCCCGGUGUAGCGGUGAAAUGCGUAGAUAUCGGGAGGAACAUCAGUGGCGAAGGCGGCCCUCUGGUCCAGUACUGACACUCAAGUGCGAAAGCGUGGGGAGCAAAC